AGCAGCCGCGGUAAUUCCAGCUCCAAUAGCGUAUAUUAAAGUUGUUGCAGUUAAAAAGCUCGUAGUUGAACCUCGGGAUCAAUGGAUCGGUCAUGCCAUCGGUAUGUACUGGUCUCAUUGGUUCUCACCUUCUAAGGAACCAUGAUGUCAUUCAUUUGAUGUUGUGGGGAAUUAGGACUGUUACCUUGAAAAAAUUAGAGUGUUUAAAGCAGGCUAACGCUUGAAUACAUUAGCAUGGAAUAAUGAAAUAGGACAUCGCAUUCUAUUUUGUUGGUUUCUAGGAUCGAUGUAAUGAUUAAUAGGGAUAGUUGGGGGCAUUAGUAUUCAAUUGUCAGAGGUGAAAUUCUUGGAUUUAUUGAAGACUAACUACUGCGAAAGCAUUUGCCAAGGAUGUUUUCAUUAAUCAAGAACGAAAGUUAGGGGAUCGAAGACGAUCAGAUACCGUCGUAGUCUUAACCAUAAACUAUGCCGACUAGGGAUCGGAUGAUGUUAAUUUUUAAUU
rnacentral:rRNA from 1 species